AUACUUACCUGGCACAGGAGAUACCGUGAUCACGAAGGCGGUUCUCCCAGGGCGAGGCUCACCAUUGCACUCCGGUGGCGCUGACCCCUGCGAUUAACCCAAAUGUGGUUAACUCGAGUGUGCAAUUUUUGGUAGUGGGGACUGCGUUCGCGCUAACCCCUU
rnacentral:snRNA from 1 species